GUAACGAUUUUGAGUUUGCUAAUAGAAGAAAAGAAAGGUUUGAAAAGUCAGCGUUCAAAGUCAGACAAGACUGGAUUUGGUCACCUUCAAUGUUUUGAUUUGCUGACAGGUUCCUUGGGAUUCCACAACAAAUAGUAUGUUUCUAUAUAUAUAUAUAUAUAUAAAAAGAAUAACACAUUGGUCAAAAUCACAAUCUUCUUUAUAUAUAUAAUAGGUUUUCAUUCUCUCCCAUCUAUGCCAACAAAGACGCCACGUCAUAAAUUGGACUCUCCUGUGCGCGACACGUAUCCCGUUAAAUGAAACGCAGCGUGUUAUGGCAGCGGGCUUCGCUUAGGCUUUGUCUCGCGUUUUGUUUUUGCGGCCCAACGACCAGCGACGCGACCACAGGAGAGAAAGAACCCGUCCUGAUUCACGCCUUCGUGUUCUUCGUUUCUCUUCGAUCGGCGGACGGGGCGAUCCAGUUUCUGUAACAGUAUGCAUUGAUUUUUUGUCUUAAAUCUUCUUAAUUCGUAAACCCACUACGAAACUUUCGAUUGCGCUGUUCGUCGGCGAAAUCGUGUAUAAAUAUGUUACAAUCUCUCCUCUGCGAAUCGCGAUAUCAACAUCUAUCUUCUACACAUCUCACUCAUUUUCAUAUCUUUGUGAUCAUCUCUCUUAAUGGCUAACUCAAAGCCUUUUUUCGAUUUGAAGUCCGGUAGGUGUUCAUCGGUUGUGGAUGCAAUGUUGCUGCGGUACUGGGAGGCUAGAAACGUCAAGGGUGGUGGGGAGCUUAUGUGGGUCGACAUGCUAAUGGUGGAUAUUAAAUUGAGUGAUCUCAGUGGUGAAACCUCAGCCAGGAGAUAUGAUAUUGAACGCAUGUGCUGCUCCUGGAGGGAAGACCCUUUUUCAUGGCAUCUUGCUUGAAACGCCAAGGCUGAUGCUAUGGACGUGAAUGAAGGACGGCUAAGAAUUCUUGGGGAGACAGCUAAAUCACACCAAGUUGCUGGACUUAUCACAGCCAUUUAUUCCGAUCUACGUGUCUUUGCUGUGAGUUAAUACUGUUUGAGUAAGUGAGUUUUACAAGUGUGUAAGCUACUCACAUUGCUUUCUUCAAACUCAAAUGCCUUUUAGGAGACAAAAGAGGUAAAAUAUGAUAAAUUGUUGCUUGAUGCCCCGUGUUCUGGAAUCGGUGUCCUCUCUAAAGUUAACAUGAGCAAUUUUUUAUCAUACUGUUUUUUCUUAGUUGAAUAGCUUAACAUGUUCCUUCUCUCUCUCUCUGUUUGCAUAGAGCGGACUUGCGCUUGAACUGCAAACUGGAGGACAUGGAAGAACUUAAGAAUCUACAGGAUGAGCUUCUUGAUUCUGCCUCCAAGCCUGGUGGAUUCUUGAUAUACAGUACUUGCUCGAUAGACCCUGAAGAAAAUCAAGGAAGAGUCGAAGCGUUUCUCCUAAGACAUCCUGAGUUCUCGGUAGAUCCAGUAGAUAGAUUAGUACCAUCAAGUUUUGUAACGUCGCAAGGCGUCUUUUUAUCCAACCCAGUGAAACACUCCUUGGAUGGAGCGUUUGCAGCCCGUCUCGUUCGAGCUUUAUGAUGUAAAAGUCAAGCUUAUUUUCUCUGAUCAUCUUGAUAAAAGAGAGAUAGGGUUACAUUUGUGUAUCUGAUGAGCUCAUCCAACUACAGUUUAACACAAGGAAUAAUGUAAGGCCAAAUCAACUCUUGGUGUAUAGUUAAAAUAUAAACAUAUGUUAAUUAACAAAAUAAAUAUGUAUUGUAAUUUUUUUGUUUUAAGAAACCA